rnacentral:rRNA from 1 species
UACGGAGGGUGCAAGCGUUGUUCGGAAUUACUGGGCGUAAAGGGCGCGUAGGUGGUUGUCUAAGUCAGGGGUGAAAGCCCGAAGCUCAACUGCGGAAUCGCAUUUGAAACUGGUUAGCUUGAGUACGGGAGAGGUGAGUGGAAUUCCUGGUGUAGAGGUGAAAUUCGUAGAUAUCAGGAAGAACAUCGGUGGCGAAGGCGACUGACUGGACAGGUACUGACGCUGAGGUGCGAAAGCGUGGGGAGUAAACAGG